UUCCCACCCCCACCCAAACCAUCUAUGUGGCGACGAUUCUCUCGCUGGCCAUGUCCUUCUCCCUCUAGUGCUACCGCUGACAACAACCACGGGCCAACGCCGUUCCUUUUCCCUCCAUGACCCUCGCAUCUCUCUCUCUCUCUCUCUCUCUCUCUCUCUCUCUCCGCUAGUGUUGCUGCCGCAAGCAACCACCGUCGUUCGCAGUCAUCUCUCCCAGCAUGUUCCUCCCUCUCAGCGUGUGGGGCACCAGCAAGUACAGGAGCAGGUAGAAGGCGCCACCGACAAAGGCCAUUUGAGGUCUCAGAGUCUUCCCUGAUCCCCUCGGUUCAGACCUCUCCCCGUUUCUCCGACCUGGUGACCAGGGUGCCAAAUAUCUAUGGAUGUGUCCGUAUCUCAAGUGCUUGAUUUUUUUAAGCAAAAAUUUUCAUCUUAGUCGAUAGUAUCAGAGCCACUCCCUUCUCUUUUGUUAUGAAUCUUAAAGAACAACGUAGAUCCAACGGCUGAACAAUCAACUUAUCCCUAACAAAAGUCAUGUGAUUUAGAUAUAGCAAAUCUGAAUAUCUAUUUUUUAAGUAUGUAAGUAUGUAGAUGUUUCUGGAACCAAAAAAUAUAUAAAAAUAUAUAUAACUAUAUAUUUACUCUUAUAAAGAACUAAUUUGAUAAUCCACCUCCAUGUAUUUUAUCAUUCUGUAAAACAUUGGAUUAUUAGAAAGAUAUAUAUCAUUAAGAUUAUUACUCAUUUAACAUCUUCUAUACUGAGAUAUACCGUGAGAUCUGUAAUAUGAUUCGUGAUCUCGCAACGAAUCUCUUGACCUAAAAAAAGUGUCCUUUCUCGAUACAUAACAUUGUAUAAGUCAACCCAAGUCGCUUCUUCAUCUCCGGAAAUCUGGUAAGGUACUUUUGGAACACCAAUGGGCAUAUUAGAUUAAUAUUAUUAAAUUUAAGUAAGAAAACUAUACUUUAAUAUGGAAACGUAAGAAUGGAAAUCUAUACUUAUAUACAAUGUGACAUUGUACUUGCAUGAGUUCAGAUAGUAUAACCUGCUUGUGAGCAUUUCAAAUAUAAAAGUGGAUCCCAAAAAACAAAAGAAAAUUCACCCAUACAAAUAUUGAAUGUAAAAAAACAAAACAUUAUAUAAUAAUUAUUAAAAAAAUACAAACUAAACACAUUAGAAUGCAUUUUUGCAGUCAUAAAAUAAACAUCGAAUGUUAUAUGUCUGAUAUACGAAUUCGCCUCACCUCAUCGUAUUUUUGUGCUCCGCCUUUGGAUCCAUUGUUUAGUUACCCGUUGAGAAAUGUCGUUGUACUGCGUGAGAUGUACGUACGUGGUGGCAGGAGAUCGGUGCAUGCCAGUAAGGAUCAAUGGAAAGAGUAGUGGGUGGCUCUCAGCUCUUACAAUUGCGGGUCACGGGCGGAGGACCCGGUAGGAUUUGUGCCUCAGUUACGAAUUGGGGGUGAUUAAGGACGCGAGGUUGGCAAGGAGAGAUCCGGGCCUCCAGGCCUCGGCCCACGUCAGAGAAAAAAGUCUUAUGAUUACUGUGAUGUAAUUUGUUUUUAUGUCAAAGAAAAAAAGUACAUUUUUCGUCUGAAAACUUUGCCUAUUUCCUCAUUCUUUUAACGACGGCUCAUUCAACUUUUUUCGAUUUCUUUACAUAAUAGAAUUUUUAUUCGUGUAAACUUUGUAUAUUUCCUUAUUCUUUUAACCAUGGCUCAUUAGUUUUCUUCAAUUUCUUUUUGACGUCGUUUCCAAUACAGAUUUAGUCAACUUAGUAGCAACGAGUUGGACCUCUCGUGGCGAUGUGGUUGAAAAUAUUUUUGUUGUCUGCACUUAAGUGAGAUAAAACUCACCACUACAAAAACCGUUACUACUGCAAGCUCACCCCUGAUGCAGUAAUAAAAAAGCGUCAGGACAAAUGUACACAUCUGACACGUUUUAUAAAGCGUGUCAAAGGUAGCAACUGGGAAGACGCGGCAACAAACAAAUCUGACACUCCAUCGCAAGAAGCGUCAAAGAAAUUGUACACCUUUGACGCGUGCGCACUACUGACGCUUGUUUACUUAAGGCAUGUCAAGAGAGUGUUACACAGCUCCGACGCUUGCUACGCUUGUUUACAUCUAUUUUUCCUCAGAACUACCAUUUUUAAUCCUAUUUGGCUUUCUGGUCGGGCUUCCGGCAUAAAAGAUACUGAGGCUGGCCUGGGAUAUCUAGCUUCGGACCGGGGCGCCGCCUAUGACCAGGUCUACUGCUUGCAUGUUUAUGUUCUGCAUCUAUAUCGAGGUGCGGUGAAAUCAGACCUGGGCAUUCUUGGGCCGGGUUUCAGGAUGGGCUUUGCAAAGCCCGACGGGAAAAUCCUAAACCCGAAAAAACCAUCAUUUUCACAUUAGAAUAUCAUUUUUGGGAUAAAAAUGUUUUUAUACCAUUUUUUAGAAAAAUAAUAUUUAUUUAUUUUGGGUUUUUUUGGCCAUGCUUUGGACAGGAAACAAUGUCCGGGCCUGGCCCGGAACGCCGGGCUUCAGUUUUAACGUGGCUUAUGAAGAAAAUAAUAAACAACAGAUAACCAUCAAAAAAGGAAAACGAUUUUGUUAUAUCUAAGUCUCACGAUAGUUACAGAUAAGUUGAUUCAUCGGCCAUUGGGUAUGAUCUAUAUUUUAACAUUCGAAUGUACGAUAAAAAGGGAAGAGUGAGAUAACAUCCAAAUAAUAAUCCAACGACUCUAAUAUGUUAACUGAGAUUUAAAUUUUUUCUUUAAAAAUCAGGCGACCGGAAUGCCAAGAAAAAAUCGAGCAAAAGCCGGAAAACAGAGACACGAAGACAGAGAAAGCAAUGGGAAAAGAGGGUCUAAUGCGUCAAACCGGACUAACCAACGAACGAUGUUAACCAUGGGCAUGUCACGUGCAUGCUGUUACCUAGAAGGCUAGAAUAGUGAAUAGUUAAUCCGGCAGGAAAGGACACACCAGAGUUUAAACAUAGUUAAAUCCACGGGGGAAUGUUCUCGCAGGUUGCUGCUGCGUGAAACAGCCGAGCCAGUUAAAAUUUAAUUAACGUCCAACUUGCAUGAACUACACGUGCUUAACAACCCCAAAUCAACUCCUUUCGUACGCGACAAGCACAAAUCAAGCCCCUUUGUACGCGUAAAGAGAGUAUCAUACAAUCUUUCUUGUGCUUUUCUCGAGCACAUAUACGUGUUCCCACUCACCUUUUCCUUUCUUUAUGCAUGGUGAAAUGGACGGGCAGGACGGCAGAAACAACAAGAAGGAAGCUGUCGCUGUACACGCCAUCCCCAUAGUCCAGUGUGUAUAUAUACAGUACACUGCACUCUCAGUUCUCACCACCUCAUCUGCCCUUGCCGUCUCCACUGAAGCGCGCAGCAGCAGCAGCAUCUCGUUGCAAAAUCUUUGAGAGAGCAGCUGGUCAACAAGAGUCAAGAGCGACCCAGAAGGAAGGCCAAGAGGUGUUGGAUCGGUAAAUUAAGAUCCGAUCGAUGGCGGCGGAAAUGUCGUGGUGUUGGGGGGUGGUGUCGUCGUGGCUUCUCAGCCCCGGCGCGGCGUGGUUCCUCUUCUUCAACGCCAUCGUGGGCGCCGUGGCCGUCUUGUCAUGGGGCGCGGGCGCCCACCACCAGGCCGGCGAGGGGAGUACGGCGGCGGCGUUGGCCGCCAGGCGGAGGAGGCUGACCCGGAGCGCGUCGUCCAUGGUGAUGGAGCGCCUCCGGUCCAUGUCCACCGCCGUGUUCCCUUCCUUCCACGUGCAAGAGUACAACCCGUUCCAAGAAGCAGAAGCAGAAGCAGAGGAGAUCGUCAGGCUGCAGGCGGUCAGUAUGGUGAAGCCGGAUCCAGAUGUGGUACCAAUGGCGUGCGCGGCUGCUGCUGCCGCUACGGUGGAGAGGGGGAGGAAAAAAAGCGAGCCGGAGAAGGCGCCGGAGGAGUUUGAGUUUCCCUUUGUUGUGUGCGCCGAGCGGUGCCGGCGCGCGUACGGGGACGAGGCGGAGGAGAAGGCGGAGGUGAACGCGCGGGCGGAGCGGUUCAUCCGGCAGUUCCGGGCGGAUCUCAAGCUGGAGCGGAUCAACUCCAUCCUCCUCAACAGAAGCCGCUGCGCCGGCGCCGGCACCGGUACGGUAGCUUAGCCUUCCACCGGACCGCCGGCGCGCUUUGAGAGCUGCUUUUGUUGUCGUGUUUACUCGGUAGAAAAUCGAUUGAUUCGUGUGUUCAGAGAUCGGUACUUGUUCGAUUCGAUCUUGCUGGCUCCUUCUCUGUGCACAGCCGCGCCUCUAUUCGGCUUCUUGCCCAAGCCCGUGCAUCGCUAAUAUGGGCGCCUCCAUUGGGCUUCCUUCCCAAGCCCAUGUAUGGCUAGCCCAUGUCUCCGAGCAUCGUGGGCUCGUGCGGAAGUUUGUUUAUCUGACAGAUGUUUUCCCCUCAAAAAAUAAAAAUAAAGAAAUCUGACAGAUGUUUCUCAAAAAAGGGCCAAGGAAGAACUGUGGGUGCAGUAGAAAAACUAAAGCGAGGAAACCAAUCGUUGCUCGGGGAAACAUUUUGGGCUCCGUAUAUUACACCGGUAGUGGGCCUAAAUACGACGAGCCAAACAGGCAGUGGAUUGACUGUCGACUCAUGGCCGUCAAACCACAUUCUUAUCUGCUGCAAUUCUAUCCUAGCCCUAGCCACCAGGAGCCAGGCGGAACCCUAGCUGCCAGGAGCCUUCGGAUUUGGUUCCCCUCGUCUCUGACCGUCUAAUCGGCAGUCGGAGACGAGGGGAACCAUAGAUCAACGUCUGGCUGCAGUUUGUCUAUCUUUUUUGUGAGGUUUUGUGUCCUCACGACAGCGUCUUGGUGGAGGAGGCGACAUCGUAUGGAAUAAUAGUCUCCCGACUCCAUCCUCUUCCUGGCGUAGUCAACGCGAUCUACUCCAUGGAGCUAGCGGAUCUCACGGUUUGUUUUUUCCUUAUUUUGGUUUUUUUUCUAGUCGGUUCGGCGACGAAUCAGCAGAUCAACAACCUGCCUUGCAAGGAGUGUGUCCCCAUCCAGAGUGCGUUCAACGAUAUUAGCUUCUCAUUGGUUGCGGUGAGCGACUCAUGCGGCUAUUCAAAACCUAUAAGGUUAGUCCAGCUUGUGCAGCUUUGGUCUUCUGCAAUUUCAUCACCGGAAAUAUGAAGAGUUUUUAAGAUACGGAUGACGGAUCAAGAAUUGUUUACUUCAAAGAAUCUUGAUGUAACUUUUAGUUUCAUUAGGGUUUUUUGUUAUUGGUUUUCGUUUCAAUUUCGAUCGCUUGUACUUUGUUUAUGAAUCAAUAAAAGCCGGAUGUUUCUCAAAAUAAAAUAAAAUCUGCUGCAACUCUACCUCUCAAAAAAAAACUGCUGCAACUCUCUUUUCUAAAAAAAGAAGUCUGCUGCAAACUCUCAUGAUCUCGUCUCAAAAAAAGAAAAGAAAAAGCUCUCAUGAUCUCAAAUACAUUCAUAUUAAUACGAGCUUUCUAAUAUCAAACAGUGUGGACAAGACAUUGAGCAAAGUCAAUGCAUGUUCCGUCAAGAGUACUGCUAAAGUAAAAGUUCAUCAAAACACCAGGAAAAGAAAACUCACAAGCUUCUUCCUAUAAAUACUCAUACCAUAAAGCUAACCUAAAAGAUACUGUACGGACCGGCAACUAGAAAUUAAUCAAGCUGCGGCCCAAACUAAAAGAUGUGAUAUCAAUGAAUAUACUCCCGAUCUAGGAACCCCUUCAAAGGUUGUUCUAGCGCCUUCAUCACAGCCUCCCACCCAGCAUGUGUCGGGUGCACCUCGUCCCAGUAGAAGAACUUGUCGGGAUUUUCGCACAAGGUGUACAGGGCCUGUCCUGAAGCGUUGCGCUGUCCACAGUAUCCAGUCGGAUGAAUUCUAUUGCAGCAUGGGGUCAGCUUACGCUUAAACUCCUUAGACUGAUCCGACCCUUCACCUGCAAUAGCAUGGAAAUUGUAUGUGUAAAUACCAAUUCAAGCACAUACUCAGCACCCAAUUCAUAUUAUUAGAAUUCAAAUUUUAUAACGUGCGUGGAUGCAAGUACUUACCAGAGGCAUGAUUGACGAUGUUGGUGAAGGCGGUGUAGAGGUCUAGAAUGUGGGCAUUAUUCUUUUUGCCCAUCAGCUGUUGCAGGUUGUUGUUGUGUAGAGAUGCGCCAUAGUUCUCAAGAAGGUCGCAUGCAGUGUUGUUGUUUGACUUGGUAUGUAGAGGCGCACAGCCAAUGGGAUGCAAGUUGUUUACUAGCACCUUUCUGAGACCUAACUUUUGUAGCUGCUCAACGUUCUUGACGAUCUCAGAAGUCACAUUCCCAAUGUAAGUAUCGAUCUGCAAGAAAAUUAAAGUUAGUAAUUAAGAUAGAUGCAUUCAUGCCUGACUAAUUACUCCGUAGUGUUUUAAUGUGAAACUCUAUAGUACUCACAUCAUCGAAGCUACUCAAAAAGGUAUCCUUGAAACCAGCACCACUCAUGUAAUCGUUGCCAGAGAUGGCAACAAGCGCGACGGAGCGGUGAAACUGCUCUUUUGAGAUUAUCCCGUCGUUGACUAGCUUCUUGAAUGCGUUGAUUUGUGCAGCAAGGGUGAGCGCAUUCUUGGAGCUUUGAGACACGCCAGCACCGCCAAAAGCCAGGUUCAUGCCAGACGGGUCACAAAAUUGAUCCGAGAGCUUGUACGCCGGAGGGGCCUGGUUGAGACCCAUGAUCCUUGCUUCAAGGACGAAACGAGUAAACCAUAAGUACAAUAGUCUAAAAUUGAGAUCUCUUGGUAGUGGUAGGUAUAUUAAUAUGUACUCUCUCCCAUCCUAAAUCGUUGUCGAAAUAUUACAUGUAUCUAAACGUUUUUUUAAGAUACAUCCAUAUUUAGGCAAAUUUGAGUUAAGAAUUUAGAAACAGAGGGAGUACAUAACACAUACCGACGAAAUCUGCCUGAUUCCUGUAGUUGGAGAAUCGGCCGGUUGGAACAGGCGUCGCGGAUGAUCCACGAGAAUUGAGAUAAGAGCCAUAGGGAUAGUUCCACUGACGGAAGGUCUCUUCGAGAAUAGAAUCAGGUUGAGUGUGACCACGCGUCAGCUUCGGAAGAUUGCCGUUGUCGACGAAGUCGUCGCCGAACACGAACAAGCUGGACCACUUGUUUCCAGACGACGCAGGGGUGCCCCGGGAAUCGACUCCAGCAACUGUGUCACGACGAAACAGAAAGAGAUCGAUCAGUACGUCCUAGUGCGCUUUGUAAUAUUCAAUAGAGAGACAGAGAGAUCGAUUAGUACAUGCGUGGUACUGUACUUCCUAGUGCUUAGCAGUAUUGAAUCAUUCAAUUCGAAUAGAAGAGAGAAUAG
rnacentral:lncRNA from 1 species